rnacentral:lncRNA from 1 species
GGAAGGGCGUGCUAACUGUUCGCUGCCUAAAAGUAAUAGCAUGACGAUCUGUGUUUCUUUCUCUUCAUGUGCCUUUCUCUUGGCAGACAAAGACCACAAGUGGGCAGAGAGGCAGGCAGAGAGAGAGGAGGAAGCAGGCUCCCUGGCUGAGCAGAGAGCCCGACGCAGGGCUCGAUCCCAGGACCCCGGGAUCAUGACCUGAGCCGAAGGCAGAGGCCCCAACCCACUGAGCCACCC